rnacentral:rRNA from 1 species
AUUGAACGCUGGCGGCAGGCCUAACACAUGCAAGUCGAACGAGUGGCGGACGGGUGAGUAAUGUCUGGGACACUGCCUGAUGGAGGGGGAUAACUACUGGAAACGGUAGCUAAUACCGCAUACCAUCGGAUGUGCCCAGUUGGGAUUAGCUAGUAGGUGGGGUAACGGCUCACCUAGGCGACGAUCCCUAGCUGGUCUGAGAGGGUGACCAGCCACACUGGAACUGAGACACGGUCCAGACUCCUACGGGAGGCAGCAGUGGGGAAUAUUGCACAAUGGGCGCAAGCCUGAUGCAGCCAUGCCGCGUGUAUGAAGAAGGCCUUCGGGUUGUAAAGUACUUUCAGCGGGGAGGCGUUACCCACAGAGGAAGCACCGGCUAACUCCGUGCCAGCAGCCGCGGUAAUUC